CUGUGUAUGGAGGCCACCAUGAUAUGCCCUCAUGGUACCACUCUGCUGCCACCGGGCUUGUUGUUCCCUCAUCCACAAAUUCAACCAUUCGCGAUACUGACUGGCUGUUUGGAUGGACCUGGGAAGUGGACCACAUGCAUGAACUUUGUAUAAUCCCAUUCUUUUCCUAUUUCGAUUCAGUUUUUUGGGCCUCUCUGACAGUCUUCUAAUGACCUGACUGAGUGGGAAGCCAGGUUUUCUAAUUAGCUUUUUAAUCUGGUGAAGGAAAGAUUCAAAUUUAAAUGCACUAAAAUUAUCGAGUGCACCAUGUAUUUUUACAUCUUGUGCCAAGUGAACAAGGUUGUGUACAUUGUAAGACAUGAACUUUUCCCCAUAGAGCUCUUGAAAGUGUUUCACAAAUAAAACCAAAAUGUCAUUAGCAUACUCAAGAUGGUCUCGGAGUAGCUGUUUGCUGGAUAAAAUGAACACUCCCACAAAAAGUAGAAGAAAGUUUUGGUAUGCUGUUGUAAUGAGUGUGCUAUUUAAAAGAACAGGCCCACUGUACAACAAAAACUGCCGGAACUCAGUAGCUUUCCACCUGUCUAACUCUCUUACAGACCUUGGUUGUCGCGAGAAUUCCAAGGGAACAUUUUUACGGAUUUGCUGAAGUCUGCUUGAAAGGUUGUCAACAGUAGAGGCAGGCAGUCUGCAGGACAAAGGACCCCGUAGCCACAACAAAAGGAGCCUGCGCAUAACACCAAGGCACACAAGUCUCCACCAUGGUUUGUUGUGCUGCCUGGAGAUGCUCCUGUCGCUCAGAGUGACUGACACACAUCUUAACAUUACCAGAGAUUACACCAACAAAAAUGAGGUUUUGGCUCGAAUCUCAGCAUGUACAACGGACAUCAUCUUAUGGAGCAGCAGCUUAAGUUGUCUUCAACCUUCAAAAGUUCAAACACAUCACUUCCCUCCUGUGUACCCUUCCCUGGCUUCCUGUAGCAGCCUCCCCUUGAGUGAACAGCAGAAUGACUGUCUUAGAACAGAGUCAAACUAACCAGGUUGUGUUCCAAACUGCAUGGAAGGAGAGUCUCCUAAAUUAUAGAAAAGCUCUUAGUGCUGCUAGAGCAAAAUAUUUCUCCUCGCUAGAAGAAAACAAAACUAAUCCUACAUUUAAUACUGUAGCAAAACUAACUAGGAAGACCACCACUACAGAAGCAUCCACACCAUCAGUAUUUAGCAGCGACAACUUUAUGAAUUUUUUCAGUGAUGAAGUUGAAAACAUAUGGCACAAAAUUAAUACUAUUAAUCUAAACCUGAGCAAUCUGAUGACAAACCAACUAGAUGUCAGUAUAGUUACAUCAGAUCAGCGUUUAGAGUCUUUUAACCCUCUCCGUGAGACCAAGUUAAUUUCACUAAUUUCUUGAUCAAAAUCGACAACAUGUAUACUAGAUCCCGUACCCACAACUUUCCUAAAACAGAUACAACUCUUUUAAAAAAGAUACAUUUAUCUCUUAGUACUGGCUAUGUCCCUAAAUCAUUUAAAGCAGUUAUCAAACCUCUGGCAAAAAACCUAACCUAGACCCCUGCCAGUUGUCUAAUUACAGACCGAUAUCAACCCUCCCCUUCAUCUCCAAAAUCCUAGAAAAGGUUGUAGCACAGCAGCUAUGUUCAUACCUGCAUAGAAAUAACAUUUGUCAGUCAGGAUUUAGGCCUCAUCAUAGCACAGAGACAGCGCUGGUUAAAGUUGUGAAUGACCUGUAACUGGCCUCUGAUCAGGGUUGUGUCUCCCUGCUUGUACUGCUUGACUUAAGUGCAGCUUUUGACACCAUUGAUCUCCUUUAUAGGCUAGAAAAUAUUGUUGGAGUUUAGGGAACAGCCUAUUUGAGUGACCGUUAUCAGUUUGUAGAUGUAAAUGGUGAAUAUUCUAUGCACAGUAAGGUUAAGUUUGGUGUUCCACAAGGUUCUGUUUUAUGUAUGUAUAGAUAUGCUACCUCUGGUUAAUAUUAUUCUUAAACAUGGUAUCAGCUUUCACUGUUAUGCUGAUGAUACACAGUUCUAUGUCUCAGCACAUCCAGAUGAGAGACACCAGUUUAGACUCUGGAUGUUGAACAAUUUUCUUUUACUAAAUUAUAUAAUAAAAAAUAUUAGGACCACAGGCAGCUAGAAGUAAACUUUCUGAUUACAUAGUAACUCUGGAUGGUAUUUCAGUUACACCAUGUACAGCUGUUAUAGACCUUGGUGUGAUUAUUAAUUCCAGUUUUUCUUUUGAAGCUCAUGUAGCUAUCACCACCAGGAUAGCCUUCUAUCAUCUUAGAAACCUUGCUAAGCUAUGAUGUCACUACAUGACGCAGAAAUACUUGUCCAUGCUUUUGUUACCUCUAGGUUGGAUUAUUGUAAUCCCUUUUGUCUGGUUGUUCCAGUAGGUGUAUAAACAAACUGCAGUUAGUCCAGAAUGCAGCAGCCAGAAUCCUUACUAGAACCAGAAAAUAUGAACACAUCACCCCUGUCUUAUGCACACUGCACUGGCUCCCGGUCAGAUUUCGCAUUGACUAUAAAAUAAUGUCUUCCGCAUUUAACCCAUCUGUGGCAGUGAACACGCACACACCAGUGCACCAGUCAACACACACCCAGUGUGUCGGGCAGCCAUCCCCGGUGCCCAUGGCACUUCAGCCAUGGAUCCUGGGAAUUGAACCGGCAACCUUCUGGUACCAAGCCCAGUCCUCUAAUUAUUAGGCCAAGGCUAAUUAUUCGUUAUUCUUAUUAAUUUUUCUAGUUUUGACCAGUGUAGGAUGAGUCUCUUAAGGUUUCUUCCUCUUGCUCUGAGGGAGUAGUUUUCCUUGCCAAUGUUUUGCUUAGCUUGUUCAUUAAGGUUUGGACCAGGGUUUUUUGUAAACUACUUCGAGUCUGAUUGUGAAAAGUGCUGUCAUUUUCAUUUUAAUUUAUGUAAUGUAUCACAUCUUCCCAGCUGUAUCUAAUGCAACUCAAGUUCAAUUUAUGUUGUAUUUUAACAUGAUUGGUUCUACCAUCAUUCGUAAAUGUGUUUAAAUCGAUAAAUAUUUUAUUCAGUCAACUCUGAACUGAAACUAUAUUACAGGUGGCUGUAAUCUCAUGCAGGCUCACUAUUUUUAAGGUUACAUCACGUUCUAUAUUGUUAUAUGCACAUUAAACUCAAUUUUUAUCUGUUGUAUGAUGUUGACCUUAUAAUAUUUUUAUAUUUUCUGCAAGUUUCCAUGUAAUAAAGGCUACUUGGCAUCAGCUGAA